rnacentral:misc_RNA from 1 species
AUGAGCCGUAGACGAAAAGCGAAUCCGACAAAACUGAGUGAAAACGCGAAGAAGCUUGCCAAGGAAGUUGAAAAUAGUCAAGAAGAAAACGACUGCGACAUGCUGGCCAAACCGCAAACCCCCACGAUUAUCAUACCUGGUCAUAUGGACGACACGCCGAAUCCAGCCGGGUCACCUCACGACGCCUCAAUCAAAUCGAGCUCGAGCACCAUCUCCGAUCAUACGAGGUGGGUGAAAUUGGCCGAAUGACCGGUUUAUUAGAGUUGGGAGGGCGAACGAUAAUGUGUUAACAUGACAGUUUACGUGUGUGUUGCAAGUAAGAAAAUACUGAAAGAGACAGGAAAACGACAUAUUGUUCCCCCGAUUAGAGACGUUUGGAAAUCGAGGUCAUGAUGAUAACGGGCGAAUUGCCGAGUUUUGAAUUUUUACCGCUCCCCCCUCAGUUACUAUUUUUUCAUCCAUUCCUUUCGCAAACAAUGAGUGUGCUCACAUAUACCCAUCCCGUGAUCUACAAUUUCGGCACGUCAGCAACAACCGGAAUUUCUGAUUUUCCCGAUAUUCUGGCACAAACUGAACACGGCUGUUCUGUACUAAUAGACGGAAAUCACUUAAGAGAGAUUAUCAAUUCAGUGGAUACGCAAGACGGAAAACAAGAUCUAUUAUCAGACGUUAUCCGACAGCUGACAUCAAUAAAAGAGAGGUUAACAAACGACGAGAGUCCUGUCAAAGACGAUUUAAAAGAAGAUCCUGACGACAUGAGCCCGAUGCUCCAUGCCGGCAAUUUCGACUCGGAGAUGCUCCUGAGGCAGCACGAACUGAUGCAGCAUCAGCAGCAACAAAUGAUAAUUGCUAACAUGUUGAAAGCCACCCAAUCUCUCCCACUCCUUUUUAAUGGCGGUUUGAAUUAUGAAGCUAUACUGAACAAUCCCGUCUUAAAUGCUACUAUUGCUGGACAUUUGCCAAAUCCUCUUGCAUCGAACAUUUCCUUGCUUCAAAAGAGUAUUAGCGCAAAACUUGCAGCCGCUGGAAACAUGCAAACAGUCGAAAAAGUGGAGACACCUUUAAAUCUUUCAAAAGACACCCCAUCUCCAACUGCUAUUCCACAAUCUCCACUAUCUGGAUUUCGGCUACCAUACUCACUUGGGACAAAUUAUGGAAGCGAUGGUCAAUUAUUUAACAAUUGCUCACCAAAUUCCAGUGGUAAGAGCACGCCUGGUAACACAUCAGUAACUAGUGAAGUAGCAACUCCACGACCACAGGCCAAAUCACCAAACCAUAUCAAAAGACCAAUGAACGCAUUCAUGGUAUGGGCUCGUGACGAGAGACGAAAAAUUUUGAAAGCGUAUCCGGAUAUGCACAACAGCAACAUCUCGAAGAUCCUCGGAUCUCGUUGGAAAGGUAUGAGCAAUUCCGAGAAACAGCCAUACUAUGAAGAGCAAUCACGGCUGAGCAAAUUGCACAUGGAGCAGCACCCGGACUAUCGGUACAGACCACGUCCGAAGAGAACAUGUGUGAUUGAUGGAAAGAAGGUUCGAGUCAACGAAUAUAAGACAAUCAUGAAGACUAAAAAAGAUUUGAUGUGGGGAGAUGAGCCAGGAUUUUCUCAACCAUCAGAUCUACAAAUGGACUUGGCAUCACAUGUAAAUCUUCUCAACGACCUCACACAGCACCACCACCAGUCACAUCUCCUACAAACAGCUGAAUAA